AACACUACUAAGGGGUGCUGUUUAACGGCUGAGAUUAUACCCUAAGAACCUGGACAAGUAAUGUUGUCAAGGGAAAUCUUAGAUAAAGAUUA
rnacentral:ncRNA from 1 species